rnacentral:rRNA from 1 species
ACGAACGCUGGCGGCAGGCUUAACACAUGCAAGUCGAACGCUCCGCAAGGAGAGUGGCAGACGGGUGAGUAACGCGUGGGAAUCUACCCAUCUCUACGGAAUAACUCAGGGAAACUUGUGCUAAUACCGUAUACGCCCUUCGGGGGAAAGAUUUAUCGGAGAUGGAUGAGCCCGCGUUGGAUUAGCUAGUUGGUGGGGUAAAGGCCUACCAAGGCGACGAUCCAUAGCUGGUCUGAGAGGAUGAUCAGCCACAUUGGGACUGAGACACGGCCCAAACUCCUACGGGAGGCAGCAGUGGGGAAUAUUGGACAAUGGGCGCAAGCCUGAUCCAGCCAUGCCGCGUGAGUGAUGAAGGCCCUAGGGUUGUAAAGCUCUUUCACCGGUGAAGAUAAUGACGGUACCCGGAGAAGAAGCCCCGGCUAACUUCGU